rnacentral:misc_RNA from 1 species
AAGUCGUAACAAGGUUUCCGUAGGUGAACCUGCGGAAGGAUCAUUAACAAAUUUAGCUUGGUGCCGCAAGGUAUCCGGCAAGGCGGAGUAGCUACUGUGCUGAAAAGCGCAGCUAGUAGCUCUGCUAGCCGGGUAUGCUUGUGAAAAUCUGUAUUUCUAGAGAUUAAUUUCUUUAGAGAUACAUAACCAACAAGUAACCUGGGGUACUUUAAGGUGAAGUGCUUUAUUGUGCUUUGUCUUAGAGCCCUUCAAUAAUCCCUAUUUUUUACCAUUUUACCCCUUUAUAAACUAUAAGACUGAUAUGACAUGAAAAUGUCAAAUACAAAAACUAUAAAACAACUCUUAACAAUGGAUAUCUAGGCUCUG